rnacentral:rRNA from 1 species
ACGGGAGGCAGCAGUGGGGAAUAUUGCACAAUGGGGGAAACCCUGAUGCAGCGACGCCGCGUGAGUGAAGAAGUUAUUCGUAAUGUAAAGCUCUAUCAGCAGGGAAGAUGAUGACGGUACCUGACUAAGAAGCCCCGGCUAACUACGUGCCAGCAGCCGCGGUAAUACGUAGGGGGCAAGCGUUAUCCGGAUUUACUGGGUGUAAAGGGAGCGCAGACGGUAGUGCAAGUCUGAAGUGAAAGCCCCGGGCUCAACCCGGGAACUGCUUUGGAAACUGUACAACUAGAGUGUCGGAGAGGUAAGUGGAAUUCCUAGUGUAGCGGUGAAAUGCGUAGAUAUUAGGAGGAACACCAGUGGCGAAGGCGGCUUACUGGACGAUAACUGACGUUGAGGCUCGAAAGCGUGGGGAGCAAACAGGAUUAGAUACCCUGGUA